ensembl:lncRNA ARHGAP26-IT1 ARHGAP26 intronic transcript 1
CAUUUUAAAUGGUUAUAUAAGUAGCUAAAUAAUAUUCUCAGUUUUGCCUCUUGGCCUGCAAUGUCUAAACUAUUUACUUUAUGGCCCCUUAAGAAAAAGUUUGCUGACUUGGAGACCCCUGGGGACUUUGAAGGCAUCCACUGGGCAUCUUGGAACAUAACCACCGAGGAUAAGGGGGCACUACUUUGUUAGACUCCACAGAUGAACAAGGGUCAGUUGUCCACACUGACCACUGUGGCCAGCCUGGAUCACAUGCCUGCCCUGCAGUGAAAUCAGCAGGACACUGGACUCACCUGGGUCACUUAGGAUGGAAAAGAACUUCUCCAAGUGAACCAGAAGAAGGGGAAUGCAAAAAUUCUAGAAUAAACUGUAACUACAUAUUCCAGUC